UCGGGAAUAUUGGGCAAUGGGCGAAAGCCUGACCCAGCGACGCCGCGUGAGGGAAGAAGGCCUUCGGGUCGUAAACCUCUGUCAUCGGGGACGAAGGAAGUGACGGUACCCGAGGAGGAAGCCCCUGCUAACUACGUGCCAGCAGCCGCGGUAAUACGUAGGGGGCAAGCGUUGUCCGGAGUUAUUGGGCGUAAAGGGCGUGUAGGCGGCCUGUUAAGUCAGGUGUGAAAUUUCAGGGCUCAACCCUGAACGUGCGUUUGAAACUGGCAGGCUAGAGGGCAGGAGAGGGAAGUGGAAUUCCCGGUGUAGCGGUGGAAUGCGUAGAUAUCGGGAGGAACACCAGUGGCGAAGGCGACUUCCUGGACUGUACCUGACGCUGAGGCGCGAAAGCUAGGGGAGCAAACAG
rnacentral:rRNA from 1 species